rnacentral:rRNA from 1 species
AGUGAACGCUGGCGGUAGGCCUAACACAUGCAAGUCGAACGGCAGCACAGUAAGAGCUUGCUCUUACGGGUGGCGAGUGGCGGACGGGUGAGGAAUACAUCGGAAUCUACUUUUUCGUGGGGGAUAACGUAGGGAAACUUACGCUAAUACCGCAUACGACCUACGGGUGAAAGCAGGGGAUCUUCGGACUUUGCGCGAUUGAAUGAGCCGAUUUCGGAUUAGCUUGUCGGCGGGGUAAAGGCCCACCAAGGCGACGAUCCGUAGCUGGUCUGAGAGGAUGAUCAGCCACACUGGAACUGAGACACGGUCCAGACUCCUACGGGAGGCAGCAGUGGGGAAUAUUGGACAAUGGGCGCAAGCCUGAUCCAGCCAUACCGCGUGGGUGAAGAAGGCCUUCGGGUUGUAAAGCCCUUUUGUUGGGAAAGAAAAGCAGCAGGUUAAUACCCCGCUGUUCUGACGGUACCCAAAGAAUAAGCACCGGCUAACUUCGUG